rnacentral:rRNA from 1 species
UAAGGAAUAUUGGUCAAUGGACGCAAGUCUGAACCAGCCAUGCCGCGUGAAGGAUGAAGGUCCUCUGGAUUGUAAACUACUUUUAUCUGGGACGAAAACGGGAUUUUUAUCUCAAUUGACGGUACCAGAGGAAUAAGCACCGGCUAACUCCGUGCCAGCAGCCGCGGUAAUACGGAGGGUGCGAGCGUUAUCCGGAUUUACUGGGUGUAAAGGGUGCGUAGGUGGGCUUAUAAGUCAGUGGUGAAAUCUCCGAGCUUAACUUGGAAACUGCCGUUGAUACUAUAGGUCUUGAAUUAUCUGGAGGUAAGCGGAAUAUGUCAUGUAGCGGUGAAAUGCUUAGAUAUGACAUAGAACACCAAUUGCGAAGGCAGCUUACUACAUAUAAAUUGACGCUGAGGCACGAAAGCGUGGGGAUCAAACA